rnacentral:rRNA from 1 species
AUUGAACGCUGGCGGCAGGCCUAACACAUGCAAGUCGAGCGGAUGAAGGGAGCUUUCUCCUGGAUUCAGCGUCGGACGGGUGAGUAAUGCCUAGGAAUCUGCCUGGUAGUGGGGGAUAACGUCCGGAAACGGGCGCUAAUACCGCAUACGUCCUGAGGGAGAAAGUGGGGGAUCUUCGGACCUCACGCUAUCAGAUGAUCCUAGGUCGGUUUAGCUAGUUGGUGGGGUAAAGGCCUACCAAGGCGACGAUCCGUAACUGGUCUGGGAGGAUGAGCAGUCACACUGGAACUGGGAACCGGUCCAGACUCCUACGGGAGGAAGAAGUGGGGAAUAUUGGACAAUGGGCGAAAGCCUGAUCCAGCCAUGCCGCGUGUGUGAAGAAGGUCUUCGGAUUUUAAAGCAUUUUAAGUUGGGAGGACGGGCAGUAAGUUAAUACCUUGAUGUUUUGACGUUACCAACCGAAUAAGCACCGGCUAACUUCGUG